AUCCCUCUGUGGUUCAUGAGCGUGAUGAUUGGGCUUACACACAUCUGCAUAACAUGUGCCUCCCUUAAACCUUAUUACGUUGGCACAUUACCCAACUGACC
ensembl:snoRNA